GCUCCUGUCGUCUAGCCUGGCCUAGGACACCGCCCUUUCAAGGCGGCGACACGGGUUCAAAUCCCGUCAGGAGCGCCA
rnacentral:tRNA from 1 species